CGGGGGCCGCCCUCCACGGGGACCGCGGGCCAGAGAGCAGAGUGCGAGGCCGUGACGGGGGACUGCACCAGGAGGUGAACCAUCUGGGUGUCCAACUGGGGGACCUCCUGCAGGGCCCCGGGUCUCCGUUCCUGCCUGGAGCCCCCCGUCACACCGAGUCCUUCAAGACAGAGAGCAAGAAGGGGGAUGACCCUGAGGCCUCGCUGUCUUCCGAGGAGGAGCGCGCGGGCGUGGAGAACGUGCGGAGCCAGACCUACUCCAAGGA